rnacentral:rRNA from 1 species
CCAAAUCUUGACAUCCUUUGACCGCUCUAGAGAUAGAGUCUCCCCCUUCGGGGGACAAAGUGACAGGUGGUGCAUGGUUGUCGUCAGCUCGUGUCGUGAGAUGUUGGGUUAAGUCCCGCAACGAGCGCAACCCUUAAGCUCAGUUGCCAUCAUUAAGUUGGGCACUCUAAGUUGACUGCCGGUGACAAACCGGAGGAAGGUGGGGAUGACGUCAAAUCAUCAUGCCCCUUAUGAUUUGGGCUACACACGUGCUACAAUGGACAAUACAAAGGGCAGCUAAACCGCGAGGUCAAGCAAAUCCCAUAAAGUUGUUCUCAGUUCGGAUUGUAGUCUGCAACUCGACUACAUGAAGCUGGAAUCGCUAGUAAUCGUAGAUCAGCAUGCUACGGUGAAUACGUUCCC